rnacentral:rRNA from 1 species
AUGUGGGAAUCAUAAUGGCCGAAAGUCUAAGGUUUCCUGGGGAAGGUUCGUCCGCCCAGGGUAAGCCGGGAGCUAAGGCGAGGCCGCAAGGCGUAGUCGAUGCACAUACGGUAGAAAUUCCGUAGCCGGCUCAAUCGUUAAGCAUACUGACACAUGAGAGUAGCUCUACCGGGCGUUGGUUGCCCCGGGCGUAAGCGAGCCGAAUGAGGCGAAGUGGGUAAAUCUUGUGGCGAGAAAAGGUGUGUGUAUUGGUUGAGCUGCCCGUACCGCAAACCGACACAGGUAGAUGAGGAGAAGAUCCUAAGGCCAUCGGGAGAAGGGUUGUUAAGGAACUAGGCAAAUUGACCCCGUAACUUCGGGAGAAGGGGUGCCUACGAGAGUAGGCCGCAGAGAAUCGGCCCAAGCAACUGUUUACCAAAAACACAGGUCUCUGCUAAAUCGAAAGAUGACGUAUAGGGGCUGACGCCUGCCCGGUGCUGGAAGGUUAAGAGGAGGACUUAGUGGCAACACGAAGGCCCGAAUUGAAGCCCCAGUAAACGGCGGCCGUAACUAUAACGGUCCUAAGGUAGCGAAAUUCCUUGUCAGGUAAGUUCUGACCCGCACGAAAGGCGUAAUGAUUUGGGCACUGUCUCAACAGCCCGCCCGGCGAAAUUGUAGUACCGGUGAAGAUGCCGGUUACCCGCAACUAGACGGAAAGACCCCAUGGAGCUUUACUGCAGCUUAAUACUGAGAUUCGGUAAAUCAUGUACAGGAUAGGUGGGAGACUGAGAAGCCAGGCCGUCAGGUUUGGUGGAGUCGCCCUUGGGAUACCACCCUUGGUUUGCUGGGUUUCUAACCUGCGGCCCUGAAUCGGGUCGGGGGACACUGUUAGGCGGGCAGUUUGACUGGGGCGGUCGCCUCCUAAAAUGUAACGGAGGCGCUCAAAGGUUGGCUCAGCAUGGAUGGAAACCAUGCAAUGAGUGUAAACGUAUAAGCCAGCCUGACUGCGAGACCGACGGGUCGAGCAGAGACGAAAGUCGGAGUUAGUGAUCCGGUGGUAUGUGAGUGGAAAUGCCAUCGCUCAACGGAUAAAAGCUACCCUGGGGAUAACAGGCUGAUCUCCCCCAAGCGUCCACAGCGACGGGGAGGUUUGGCACCUCGAUGUCGGCUCGUCGCAUCCUGGGGCUGAAUUAGGUCCCAAGGGUUUGGCUGUUCGCCAAUUAAAGCGGCACGCGAGCUGGGUUCAGAACGUCGUGAGACAGUUCGGUCCCUAUCUGUUGCGGGCGUAGGAGAUUUGAAGGGAGCUGACCUUAGUACGAGAGGACCGGGUUGGACGUACCUCUGGUGUACCAGUUGUUCUGCCAAGGGCAUGGCUGGGUAGCUACGUACGGACGAGAUAAACGCUGAAGGCAUCUAAGCGUGAAACUCUCCCUGAGAUAAGAUCUCCACUGAGGCUCGACGUAGACUAUGUCGUUGAUAGGUCAGAGGUGGAAGUGCAGCAAUGCAUGCAGCUGACUGAUACUAAUAAGCCGAAAGCUUGAUC